AUAAUGGGUCAGCGACUUAUAUUCUGUAGCAAGGUUAACCGAAUAGGGGAGCCGAAGGGAAACCGAGUCUUAACUGGGCGUUAAGUUGCAGGGUAUAGACCCGAAACCCGGUGAUCUAGCCAUGGGCAGGUUGAAGGUUGGGUAACACUAACUGGAGGACCGAACCGACUAAUGUUGAAAAAUUAGCGGAUGACUUGUGGCUGGGGGUGAAAGGCCAAUCAAACCGGGAGAUAGCUGGUUCUCCCCGAAAGCUAUUUAGGUAGCGCCUCGUGAAUUCAUCUCCGGGGGUAGAGCACUGUUUCGGCAAGGGGGUCAUCCCGACUUACCAACCCGAUGCAAACUGCGAAUACCGGAGAAUGUUAUCACGGGAGACACACGGCGGGUGCUAACGUCCGUCGUGAAGAGGGAAACAACCCAGACCGCCAGCUAAGGUCCCAAAGUCAUGGUUAAGUGGGAAACGAUGUGGGAAGGCCCAGACAGCCAGGAUGUUGGCUUAGAAGCAGCCAUCAUUUAAAGAAAGCGUAAUAGCUCACUGGUCGAGUCGGCCUGCGCGGAAGAUGUAACGGGGCUAAACCAUGCACCGAAGCUGCGGCAGCGACGCUUAUGCGUUGUUGGGUAGGGGAGCGUUCUGUAAGCCUGCGAAGGUGUGCUGUGAGGCAUGCUGGAGGUAUCAGAAGUGCGAAUGCUGACAUAAGUAACGAUAAAGCGGGUGAAAAGCCCGCUCGCCGGAAGACCAAGGGUUCCUGUCCAACGUUAAUCGGGGCAGGGUGAGUCGACCCCUAAGGCGAGGCCGAAAGGCGUAGUCGAUGGGAAACAGGUUAAUAUUCCUGUACUUGGUGUUACUGCGAAGGGGGGACGGAGAAGGCUAUGUUGGCCGGGCGACGGUUGUCCCGGUUUAAGCGUGUAGGCUGGUUUUCCAGGCAAAUCCGGAAAACUAAGGCUGAGGCGUGAUGACGAGGCACUACGGUGCUGAAGCAACAAAUGCCCUGCUUCCAGGAAAAGCCUCUAAGCAUCAGGUAACAUCAAAUCGUACCCCAAACCGACACAGGUGGUCAGGUAGAGAAUACCAAGGCGCUUGAGAGAACUCGGGUGAAGGAACUAGGCAAAAUGGUGCCGUAACUUCGGGAGAAGGCACGCUGAUAUGUAAGUGAAGCGACUUGCUC
rnacentral:rRNA from 1 species